rnacentral:lncRNA from 1 species
NNNNNNNNNNNNNNNNNNNNNNNNNNNNNNNNNNNNNNNNNNNNNNNNNNNNNNNCCCAGUGGCUGUGGCCGGCCGAUGGUCCCUGGCUUCCUCCUCACGCAGGCACGCUGGUCUGGUCAGGUCCCAAAAGCAGCUCUGGCUAAGAGCUCUCUCUCUCCCUCGGCCAGGUGGCUGGUGUUCAAAGGGGAUGAGGCAGCCGGAGCAGCAGGCCCUGGUCCUGCAGACACAGAGGGGGCCGAGCAGCUCUUCUGGAAAAGAGGGCUGGCAUCCAGCAGGGGCCCAACCACAGUCCACUGCCUCUCACCCAGUGGCUGUGGCCGGCCGAUGGUCCCUGGCUUCCUCCUCACGCAGGCACGCUGGUCUGGUCAGGUCCCAAAAGCAGCUCUGGCUAAGAGCUCUCUCUCUCCCUCGGCCAGGUGGCUGGUGUUCAAAGGGGAUGAGGCAGCCGGAGCAGCAGGCCCUGGUCCUGCAGACACAGAGGGGGCCGAGCAGCUCUUCUGGAAAAGAGGGCUGGCAUCCAGCAGGGGCCCAACCACAGUCCACUGCCUCUCACCCAGUGGCUGUGGCCGGCCGAUGGUCCCUGGCUUCCUCCUCACGCAGGCACGCUGGUCUGGUCAGGUCCCAAAAGCAGCUCUGGCUAAGAGCUCUCUCUCUCCCUCGGCCAGGUGGCUGGUGUUCAAAGGGGAUGAGGCAGCCGGAGCAGCAGGCCCUGGUCCUGCAGACACAGAGGGGGCCGAGCAGCUCUUCUGGAAAAGAGGGCUGGCAUCCAGCAGGGGCCCAACCACAGUCCACUGCCUCUCACCCAGUGGCUGUGGCCGGCCGAUGGUCCCUGGCUUCCUCCUCACGCAGGCACGCUGGUCUGGUCAGGUCCCAAAAGCAGCUCUGGCUAAGAGCUCUCUCUCUCCCUAGGCCAGGUGGAUGGUGUUCACAGGGAAUGAGGCAGCCGGAGCAGCAGGCCCUGGUCCUGCAGACACAGAGGGGGCCGAGCAGCUCUUCUGGAAAAGAGGGCUGGCAUCCAGCAGGGGCCCAACCACAGUCCACUGCCUCUCACCCAGUGGCUGUGGCCGGCCGAUGGUCCCUGGCUUCCUCCUCACGCAGGUAUCAGUUAUGAAAAGAAGUCAGUGCUUAUGAACCAAAGCUUUACCUGAAGCCUCAGAAUUUCAAUACAGUCUAAAAU